CUUGGUUUUACACAAUUAGUACCAUAUUGGAAGUAAUAUACCUUGACCAAGAAUAUUUUAUUCCAGUAAUACAAGGAUAGUUUUAUCCAGAAUUGAUGCCUCUGUGUUUGGAAAUGAAACUGCUGUAAAAUUGUUGACAUUUUCUUAUCAGGAGUGCUACUGUUAUACUAAUUUCAUAAAAACAAAAGGGGACAUUUUGUAUCCUUUUCUGCCAUCUCGAAUAUUUUGAACAACGCGAGAAUGGUAUUUAUUGUAUAAAAUGUUAGGCAGGCCUUUGUCUUAGUGGCAGUGUUUUAUAUUCCCUGUUUCUUGUAAGGAAGUUGCUCUUUUGGGAUCUCUUUCUUCUUGUUUUUGUUUUGGUCAUUUACGUUUUGGUGGGAAAUUGGUAAUUUUGUGUCACUGAAAUGCAUGAACAUCCUCCGAGCCAUUUUGUACCUGAGGUCACACCCUCCGGGCAGGUGGCGUGUCCCUGUUGCUGGCCUUGGGAUCACAGGGCGCUUGUGUCGGGCUUUGACUCAGGUGGGCUUCGUAGUCUCUGCCAGGUCUUCUGAUCUAUGUGCUGCGCUUUGCAUCUUGCUGCCGUUUCUCCACAGAGGAGGGCUGGUGCCUUGGAGAAGUAGCUGACCCUGGAGAUGGGAUGAGCUAGAGCAUUGAGGACCCCGGAGCAAGGAAGAGGCGCUGGCUGUCCCGACGGGAGACCUCAGAGCGGCUCGCAGAGCCCCUGUCCCGAAAGGGGAGGUGGAGGGAGGACAGUGUCGAGCCUGAAGCCCUGGUGUACCCUGGGAGCAUGGCGAGGAUGGCAAGGAUGGCAGCUGCUGGGGGGCCCCUCCACCUCUCUCAGUGUGGUCAGAUGACUUCCACUUCCACUCUGUCCACGGCGUUAAUUGCAGUGGUUCCUGGCCCAGAAAAGAGGAUGAUGCGCUGAAUGAGGGGGGCUGGUCCAGCAUGGAAGAACGCACCUCAUAGAAGUAGAUGCUGGAGAGCUGCCAUCAGGACGCAGUGCAGGGUGAUGGAGGGUCAGAGUCAUGGAUGGCUGGUGGCGAACACACUAAAGGAACAAGGUGGAGAGCAUUUCUGUAACCCAGAAAUGAGGCGAUCAUCCCGCCCAGCCCAGAAGCUAGUGGGGAAGGCAGAUGCUUAUGUAACAAAAAUGGGGCAGAACAAACAAAAACACAGAAUGUAGUAUAUACUAUGGCUAAUGGUUAACUUGGAAAAGUUAAAUUUUAAUUUGUAAUGACGUAUAAGUGGUCACUGUCUGUGAGGUACAAAGAAUCUAUGUAUUGGUAAGAAAAUGACAGAAUCAGUAGAAAGGUGGGUCAGAUACGCAGACAGUUCAUAGGAGGAAAAGCAAAUGGCAACAGAGUUGUAAAAAUGUGCACAGCUUCAUUUGUAGUCAAGGAGGUGACAACAUAGGUACCUGAUCUUACCUGGCCAGCUGGCAAGACCUGAGCCUAGUGAGGCUGAGCAGGGCUGCUGCUGGCCUGUUUCAGCGCCAUGAAUGUGGAGAGGCAGCUUCGUGCGUCCGUCCACCCACUGUAAAGUGACUGCCCUGCAGUUCUGCUUUUCGACACCUUGAUAGCAAUAAGAAUUGUGUGAGGGCAUGUGACCGACAUGAAAAUGCCUUCGCGUUGUAUUGGCAGAUAACAACCCUUCUCCUUGCCAGUCAGAGGCCUUUCUGAUGCAGGUGGUUGGUGCUGGGGAGGGCGGAGGGCGCUGCAGCGUGGAUGAGGGAGAAGGCUCUUGAUCCUGGGAGCUCCCAGGAGAGCCACUGAGAGAAGGUCACUUCCCUAGUGCUGUGUGGCGGACUGCUGCUGGCCAUUGCACUUAUGAGCGCCACCUAGGUUUGCUGUGAACAGAACACACAGGCCUAGGCACCUGUGCCCUGCCCUGGAGCUCUGUGGAGGGCAUGGUGAGAGAGGCACAGCUGGUGUGUAGGGCGGGUGAUGGUCAGCUCCCAGUCGGCGUAGGUACCAGGGUGGAAGCCCUCAGCCUCGGAUGCUUGACACUUGCGUGGCUAAGGCUGGAUUGCUCCCUACUCCUGAUGAGGCUCCUGAGGCUCCAAGAGAAAGUGUAAUUUGGUUUUGUUAUACUCUGGUCCUAAAAGUCUAGGAAACGUAAUUCAACUCAGAUUUCUGUCCAAAAUACUUCACUUUCUAGUAAUGUGGUCUUUGAUAUUGCUGUUAGCCAGUAUAUUGCACUAUUGGCUGUUAAUAAUGCGCUUUUUUAUUUUCAGUUUUUUGUAGCAUCAGAUCCAACAGUUAAAACCGAUCGACUGUGGCAUGACAAGUAUACUUUGAGGAAAUCCAUGAUUCCUUCUUUUAUGACAAUGGAUCAAUCUAGGAAGGAUAUUUUCCAUUUCAGGUCCUUUUGAUAGGAAAAUCAAUAAAUUUCUUGCAUCAAGUUUGUCACGAUCAGACACCCACUACAAAGAUGAUAGCUGUGACCAAGUCUGCAGAGUCCCCCCAAGAUGCUGCGGAUUUAUUCACAGACUUAGAAAAUGCGUUUCAAGGGAAAAUUGAUGCUGCUUAUUUUGAGACCAGCAAAUAUCUAUUGGAUGUUCUCAAUAAAAAGUACAGCUUGCUGGACCCACAUGCAGGC
ensembl:lncRNA